GACGAACGCUGGCGGCGUGCUUAACACAUGCAAGUCGAACGAAGAGCGACGGAAGCUUGCUUCUAUCAAUCUUAGUGGCGAACGGGUGAGUAACGCGUAAUCAACCUGCCCUUCAGAGGGGGACAACAGUUGGAAACGACUGCUAAUACCGCAUACGAUCUAACCUCGGCAUCGAGGAUAGAUGAAAGGUGGCCUCUACAUGUAAGCUAUCACUGAAGGAGGGGAUUGCGUCUGAUUAGCUAGUUGGAGGGGUAACGGCCCACCAAGGCGAUGAUCAGUAGCCGGUCUGAGAGGAUGAACGGCCACAUUGGGACUGAGACACAGCCCAGACUCCUACGGGAGGCAGCAGUGGGGAAUCUUCCGCAAUGGACGAAAGUCUGACGGAGCAACGCCGCGUGAGUGAUGACGGCCUUCGGGUUGUAAAGCUCUGUUAAUCGGGACGAAAGGCCUUCUUGCGAAUAGUGAGAAGGAUUGACGGUACCGGAAUAGAAAGCCACGGCUAACUACGUG
rnacentral:rRNA from 1 species